UUCCAUAUGUAGCUGAUGGCUACAUGUGAAAAACGAAUGAAAUCUGUGAAGUAACGAAUUUGGGGGGAGGCAAGUUCUUACUAUGUAGAUCUGGCUGGCCUAUGAAUUCUCCAUGUAGAUCACACUGGCCUUGAACUCACAGAGAUCCUCCUGCUUCAGGCUCAGGGAGGUACACAUCACCUCACCAAACUGAAGUAAAGAAUCUUGAACCAGAGUUAAUUUGGGAAUCAACUAUCAAAUUAUUUGUCCUCUCUCUUGCAUGCUUGCCCAAGAUUUUGUCCACCCAGUAGCCCAUGCCUUCUGGAUAAAGUUGAACAGUGUCAUUGAUUUGCCAAGAACAGAAAUUGUUACAUUAGCUACUGUCAUUAGGUGUCCCAAAGCCUAUGUGUGAAAGGCUAAGCCUCCAGGAUAGUAGUAGGAGACAGUGGAUCUCUAGGAGGUGGAACAAAGGGGACUGUGGGAUUUCUGACCCUUCCUGUUCUUUCUUAGGCUGCCCAGUAAUGGUUUCUGGGAUUUGAUCUGCCAUCUACUUGUGCCAAGAUAUCUUGUUCUGUCACAGGCUCAUAGUAAGGGGGCAGUCUACGAUGGGCUCUCUCAAACCCUGAGAGGCAAAAUUAAAAAUUAUUGCUUUUCUCAAGAAAUUUGCUGUAGUGAAAAGAAUCUUACUAACACAGCAACCCUUCUGUGCUAAUGAAGGAUUAUGUGAAUUAAAGCUCUAUAUUACGAUAAAAAUGAUCAGUCAAGCCUGACUUCUACUUAUGAUUAACACAUGGCUCAAAAAGAGCUGUUAUUAUUUGUGAGCUGCCCUAGAAGCUAGUGAAAUACUGCUGAUCAUCAGGGCUCCUGUGAGGAAAAGGUGGAUAGCCCUAGAGCUAGAAAUGACAGCUUUGCAGCAGGAAAAGGAAAGAGCAGUGCGCAACCCCUGUGCAUCUUGGGAAAGGAAGGGAGCACUGUUUUGCUUGUGUCCAGCUUGGGAGAAGGUGCACUGUAAUUUCAGUACAGGUCUCUUACUUUUAUUUUUAAAAAUUUAGAUGAGCAUACACAGUAAUGAUUUUUGCUCUCUGUUUUCAUACAUGCAUUCGUCGCCCUCCAACAUCCCUCCCAACUGUGCCUGUUCCCCUCUGCCUGUUUCCCAUUCUUUUGCUGUCUUAGCGCAUGUGUUAUUACCCUUCUGUUUGCUUGUAUCUUAAGGUUGUUUCCACCCUUCCUGUGAUCCCUUCUCUGAUUUCAUGAUUGUAUAUAUGUAUUUAAUGUGUUCAUUUGAAUAUAUUUAUAUAUUGUUAUGAUAUAGUUAUGGAUUUUUAAAGCUGUAUUCUGCAUAUGAGAGGAAGUGGGGCUUUGUCUUUCUGCAUGUGGCUUGUUUUGCUUAACCUGGUGAUUUCUAGUUCUAACCAUUUUCCUAAAAAAUACCUUAUUUCAUUUUUCUUGAUGACUGUAUAAAAUUGUAUCAUGUACACAUGCCAUAUAUUCUUUAUGCAUUUAUCCACUGACACGUUUCUUGGAUGGUUUCACUUCUUGGCUGCCGUGAAUAGACCAGCAGUAGACACGGACGUUUGAUUGUCUCUGUAGGGUACAGGGUUACAAGGCGCUGUGCUUGGCUCAUGAGCUCUCUUUCCAGAUCUGAAAGGAACCUCUGUACUGACGUCAGAAUGCGCUUUCUUUCAAGAUUAUGUUUACUGAGAAUUUUCAUUAAAAUCUCAACUUUAUCUCAGUAAAAUGUUGGGAUUCUAUUUUUUAAUAGGCACUUUUCUUUAUUGAUUUUAAAUAAUAGAAAUGAUAUAGCUCUAUAGAUUGAGGACCUUUUUACAGAAGUAUAGCUAGGAAAUAGUAUUUUUUUUAAAGUCAGAAAAGGCUAGGAAAAAAAUCAGUUUAGAAGACCUGGGUAUGGUGGUACAUAAUUGUCACCCCAUUACUCCAAAGGCCAAGGCAAGGGGAUUUUUGAGUUCUAGGUCAGUCUGGGCUCCAAAACAAAAGUCAUUUUAAAAAUUAGACAUUACUGAUAUGAUAAAAUGUCUCUGGUUUUGUUUUGUUUUUUGUCCCGCCCCCCCGCUCUUGUGAUUAAGAUGGCUUUUAGCUAUUUGGGAAUCUCACUAUUUUGGAGUUUAGUAGGAAUUUAGCAUAUGCAUAUGGAUUUUAAAAUAAAAAUCAGUAUUAUUUUAGAACUUACAUCUUGGUUCCAAUGUUAUACUUUUAUCAUCUUUUCCUGCCACUAAUUAUGUGGAAAUUAAAAAAUUUGGGGGAUAAUGAUUCUACUCUCUUUGGAAAGAGAUACAUUAAGAAAAAUCAGUCAUAGACAAACUUUGAAAACUCUUUGGAAUCUGGACCCUGAGACACAGCUGUCAUCACCAUGUAGUGAAAAAUCACGCCAGAUGAACAGAGAGGGAAAUAAGAAUACUUGUCUUUGCUGAAUGUAAGUAUCAUAUUAUGCUGCUUCAGGGCUACACAGAGAAACCGUGUCUUGAACCAAAAACAUAAAAUAAAAUAAAAUAAAAUAAAAUAAAAUAAAAUAAAGGAGUAGUCAGAAGUAGUUAAGGAGUUAUG
rnacentral:lncRNA from 1 species